rnacentral:rRNA from 1 species
GAUGAACGCUGGCGGCGUGCCUAAUACAUGCCAGUCGAGCGAACGGACGAGAAGCUUGCUUUUCUGAUGUUAGCGGCGGACGGGUGAGUAACACGUGGAUAACCUACCUAUAAGACUGGGAUAACUUCGGGAAACCGGAGCUAAUACCGGAUAAUAUUUUGAACCGCAUGGUUCAAAAGUGAAAGACGGUCUUGCUGUCACUUAUAGAUGGAUCCGCGCUGCAUUAGCUAGUUGGUAAGGUAACGGCUUACCAAGGCAACGAUGCAUAGCCGACCUGAGAGGGUGAUCGGCCACACUGGAACUGAGACACGGUCCAGACUCCUACGGGAGGCAGCAGUAGGGAAUCUUCCGCAAUGGGCGAAAGCCUGACGGAGCAACGCCGCGUGAGUGAUGAAGGUCUUCGGAUCGUAAAGCUCUGUUAUUAGGGAAGAACAUAUGUGUAAGUAACUGUGCACAUCUUGACGGUACCUGAUCAGAAAGCCACGGCUAACUACGUG